rnacentral:rRNA from 1 species
CCUGGUGGUUUGAGCGGAGUGUAUAAAACCCGAUCCCAUCUCGAACUCGGCCGUUAAACGCUCCAGCGCCUAUGGUACUGUGUCUUAAGACACGGGAGAGUCGGUCACUGCCAGUC